ACAGCUCCCCUUAUCCUUGGCAUCCAGUCUCCCCGUACCGCUCCCCGGCCCCAGGUAAUCACCUCUGGUCAGUCCAGGAUUCCCUGUAAGUGCAGUAACACACCACGGAGUCUUUGUGUCUGGCAUGUUUUGUUCAGCACAUUUUUGACAGCCAUUUACCUGUUUGCAUUGCAUCCAGAGGUUCAUUACCCUUUGCUGCUAAAUAGCAUAGCACUUUAGCUCUCCAUCCAGUGAUGAACUCGUGGGUCGUAUUAUCAGGAGGCAGAAAUUGUAACUUGAACAGUUAAAUUUGAUAUAUCUAUAGAUAUAUCGUUUGUUUGUUUUGGGGGCACUGAGGAUUAAACUCGGGACCUUGGGCUUGUGAGGCAGAUGGCAGAACCACCGAGCUAAGUCAUCGGCCCAAAUUUAAUGUAAUUGCUAGCUAGUAAACAGUGGUUAAUAACAGUGGGUGAAAGGGGACCCUACGGAUCUACAGAGGAUGAUUGCAAUUAUAGUGAAUAUUUAAAUUUUAAAAAAAUGUAUUACAGUAAAUGACACAUCAUCAUUAAUCUCCCUGAAAAUACUCCCCUUCUUGUCAUGUCUUUAUUUAUUUUCCUGUUCCAGAGAUCAAACUCAGGACUUGGCGCUUGCCAGGCAGGCACAGUGCUGCCAAGAUACAUUUCCCACCCCAUGCAUGUCUUUAUAUGAUAAAAAAAGAUAUGAUCAAAACUAUACUGUGCGCUGCCGCUGAGUGUCAUCCAGCAGAAAAACAUGAGUGUGUUCUCACUCAUCUCAUUCACCAGGUCUGGUACUGUGCAAAGGCUGGCUCUUCCCCAGGGCAAAAUCACCACGAAAGGUAAGCGUUUGGAAUUGUUCGGGACGUGGGAGCAGCCUUGGCAGCACAAGCGAAUGCAAAAACGAGGACUUCAGAACAAACUGCUUCAGAAAGUGGCCAUAACAACAGGAUAAGUGUGUUUGAAGAGGGGGGAAACCUGAAGGGAUUAAUGGCAAUGUGCCUUUUACCGUAAAAAAAAAAAAAAGUUUUUAAAUUUAAACUUUCACCAUAUGUUUCAGUCACGGUACAGAGAAGAUGAGCAAGAGAGGGUCUGGAAGGAACCAAGAGCUUUGGAGAGGAGACCCGGUCCCUCACAAGGAUUCGUCUCAGACCUCUUGGUCUACCAAGAGCUACACAGCCUGGCUGCCAGUGGUGAAUGUGCUUGCCAACGACACAAGCUAGGCCGGCGGUUUGCAGUGAUGCAGAGGUGAGUGCUGCCAGACCUGCACUGAGAAAAACAGACGAAGCUGAACCCAGAACCCAGGAAGAAGGGCAAGCCUGGCCAAUUUAGGGAGACCCUGUCUCAAAAAUUUUAAAAGGGGUCCUGCUAAGUUGCCCAGGCUGGCCUUGUACUUGUGAUCCUCCUGCCUGAGAUUCAGGAGAGCUGGGAUUACAGGAAUGUGUUGCCACUUCCACCCCACAUAUUUUGAAAGUAGUGUUUAAUCUUGUAAUGUGUG